AUCCAAAGCUUUUUUUUUUUUUUCCAAAUUCACUUGUUUUUAAGUUUUAACAGGACAUGCCAGAAUUCAACUAGCAGUGAUGGAA